GACGAACGCUGGCGGCGUGCUUAACACAUGCGAGUCGAACGGAGAAGCUCCAGCUUGCUGGAGUGGAUCAGUGGCGAACGGGUGAGUAACACGUGAGCAACCUGCCCCUGACUCUGGAAUAAGAGCUGGAAACGGCGUCUAAUACUGGAUACGAGAAGGGUCCGCAUGGGCACUUUCUGGAAAGUUUUUCUGUUGGGGAUGGGCUCGCGGCCUAUCAGCUUGUUGGUGAGGUAAUGGCUCACCAAGGCGACGACGGGUAGCCGGCCUGAGAGGGCGACCGGCCACACUGGGACUGAGACACGGCCCAGACUCCUACGGGAGGCAGCAGUGGGGAAUAUUGCACAAUGGGCGAAAGCCUGAUGCAGCGACGCCGCGUGAGGGAUGACGGCCUUCGGGUUGUAAACCUCUUUCAGCAGGGAAGAAGCGAAAGUGACGGUACCUGCAGAAGAAGCACCGGCUAACUACGUG
rnacentral:rRNA from 1 species